rnacentral:rRNA from 1 species
UACAGAGGUGGCAAGCGUUGUUCGGAAUUACUGGGCGUAAAGGGCGCGUAGGCGGCCUACUAAGUCAGACGUGAAAUCCCCCGGCUUAACCUGGGAACUGCGUCUGAUACUGGAAGGCUUGAGGAUGGGAGAGGGAUGUAGAAUUCCAGGUGUAGCGGUGAAAUGCGUAGAUAUCCGGAGGAAUACCAGUGGCGCAAGCGGCGCUCUGGGUCGAGCCUGACACUGAGACGCGAAGGCAUGGGGAGCGAACGGG